GGAGCGUAGGCCGACUGGCGAGGUACCCGGCUGUCUACCGGGUCGAGGCGAGUUCGAUUCUCGUACGCUCCGCCA
rnacentral:tRNA from 1 species